rnacentral:rRNA from 1 species
CCAAUAGCGUAUAUUAAAGUUGUUGCAGUUAAAAAGCUCGUAGUUGAAUUUCGGGAUCAAUAUGUCGGUCGUGCCUCGGUACGUACUGGCGUCAUUGGUUUCUCCCUUCUGAAGAACCGCGAUGUCAUUAAUUUGGUGUCGUGGGGAAUCAGGACUGUUACUUUGAAAAAAUUAGAGUGUUUAAAGCAGGCUCGCGCUUGAAUACAUUAGCAUGGAAUAAUGAAAUAGGACGUUUGAUUCUAUUUUGUUGGUUUCUAGGAUCGACGUAAUGAUUAAUAGGGAUAGUUGGGGGCAUUAGUAUUCAAUUGUCAGAGGUGAAAUUCUUGGAUUUAUUGAAGACUAACUACUGCGAAAGCAUUUGCCAAGGAUGUUUUCAUUAAUCAAGAACGAAAGUUAGGGGAUCGAAGACGAUCAGAUACCGUCGUAGUCUUAACCAUAAACUAUGCCGACUAGGGAUCGGAUGAUGUUAAUUUUUUAAUGACUCAUUCGGCGCCUUACG